UGCCACUGCCGCUGCUAUUUUUUGAG
rnacentral:piRNA from 1 species